GGGAAACCGCCACAGGGAAAGUUCAAAUAAGCGGGACGAGGUUUUCUAAUUUUUACUCCUACAGUUUUGGAUCUCAAGCACGAAGCUUCUUCUCAUCAACACUUCACCGUCUUCCAUUUGAGUUCCAUCGGAUUCCGAUCACAGUCUACUCAUGUGGUGGUGCUGAAUCAGUAAGGUGUUAGUAUAGUUCAUAGCAAACAACCUCAAGAGAAAGACAUCUGUUGCCUAAGAACUAUGCUGUUACUGAAUAAUGUGCCAAGCUAAUCACCCGUGAAUUCGUUUCAACACUAUAAAGAAGGUACACCACAACGAUACGAUGUGUAAUAUUAUCACCGAACUUCCCACUUUCCUAGAUUACAGACUCGAUAUACUUGAAAUUAUCUUUCUUGGGAUGGCCUGUGUGUCAAGCCCCACUUGUGGGACUUCACCGGUUUGUUGUUGUAGAUAGGCUAGCAAAAAAAGUUCACUUUUAUUGUGAUAUACCUAGGAGGUGAAUGUUAAAUAUGAUAAAUUUACAUUUUUUCAAAAGUUCAGGUUU